UACGUAGGGGGCAAGCGUUAUCCGGAUUUACUGGGUGUAAAGGGCGUGCAGCCGGAGAGGCAAGUCAGAUGUGAAAUCCGCGGGCUCAACCCGCGAACUGCAUUUGAAACUGCUUCCCUUGAGUAUCGGAGAGGUAAGCGGAAUUCCUGGUGUAGCGGUGAAAUGCGUAGAUAUCAGGAGGAACACCGGCGGCGAAGGCGGCUUACUGGACUGUAACUGACGUUGAGGCUCGAAGGCGUGGGGAGCAAACAGG
rnacentral:rRNA from 1 species